rnacentral:rRNA from 1 species
GAUGAACGCUGGCGGCGUGCCUAAUACAUGCAAGUCGAGCGAACGGACGAGAAGCUUGCUUCUCUGAUGUUAGCGGCGGACGGGUGAGUAACACGUGGAUAACCUACCUAUAAGACUGGGAUAACUUCGGGAAACCGGAGCUAAUACCGGAUGAUAUUUUGAACCGCAUGGUUCAAAAGUGAAAGACGGUCUUGCUGUCACUUAUAGAUGGAUCCGCGCUGCAUUAGCUAGUUGGUAAGGUAACGGCUUACCAAGGCAACGAUGCAUAGCCGACCUGAGAGACUGAUCGGCCACCCGGGAACUGAGACACGGUCCAGACUCCUACGGGAGGCAGCAGUAGGGAAUCUUCCGCAAUGGGCGAAAGCCUGACGGAGCAACGCCGCGUGAGUGAUGAAGGUCUUCGGAUCGUAAAACUCUGUUAUUAGUGAAGAACAUAUGUGUAAGUAACUGUGCACAUCUUGACGGUACCUAAUCAGAAAGCCACGGCUAACUACGUG